rnacentral:RNase_P_RNA from 1 species
AUGACUGCUGCGAAAGCAGAGGAAAGUCCAUGCUCGCACAGGCUGUGAUGCCUGUAGUGUUUGUGCCGGAUGAAAUAAUAAAUCCGGGCAGCGAAAGCUGACGGCCGCUGACUUUCCUAAAGGCUUUGCCCAGGGAAUAAGCGAUAAAGUGCCAAAGAGACGAGCGCACGGGAAACCGUGCGGGUGGAACGCGGUAAACCCCUCAAGCGAGAAACUCAAAUUUGGUAGAGGAACCCUGAAACACGAACCGAAGUGCGGACGGGGCGGAAGUAAUUCCGCAGAUAAAUGGUCAUCCCUUUAUAUAAAGGACAGAACAUGGCUUACAG